GCCGUUAACCGUUGCUGCGCCGCGGCGGCGCCCCGUUGCCCGCCGGGGCCGCCCGGAGCGAGCAGGCCUCAGCUCGAGGCACCCCCCGAGCGCCGCCGGGGCGCGUCGCCCCCAUCCCGCCCUGUCAGUGUGGAGAAGCCGUCGCUGGGCGCUGUCUUGUCAUCCUCGGGUGCCUCGUCCCCCGCAGAUGGCAGCCCCGCGUCAGCGCAGCCCCGCACCGCGGUCCAGCCAGGCCACCCCGCUUCAGGCCCGCUGCCUCACCCGCUCCCCAAGAGCCCAUAGUGGUGGUGUUGGGCUUUGCGAAGGGCCGGCUGGUGAACAAACCCCUCAGCAGUCUGGGGAGCCCGGCCUUGUCCUGAUAACACAGAGGCCUUGGCAGCAAUAUGGGUUUAAUAGCUCCUGUCCAAGAAGCUUGUGUUCACCCUGUGUGGAGUUGCGCCCUCAGCCUGUGGCAGUGAGCUGUGAAAUCAGGGAGCAGAUCCACAAUCAAAAAACCUCCCAGGAAUACAGCUUUUUUGGAAGUGCCAGUGUCGCUCCAUUCGAAUGUGACUCAGGUGAAGGUGGUACUGCUGUGGCUCAGCCCCCUCCAGCCACACGUUCCUGCCCUGCUCCUUUGGGCAUCUGAUUCCCACAUGAACCAGUCCAGGCAGUUAAAUAAGUAAAACCUGAUAUUUUCUUCUUGCAAGUUUAAUUUUGAAUCUGUUUGACUCCUUAUAUUGUCAUUUUAACUGCUUGUAUUAUUAAGGGGCUGCACCUUGAAAGAGCAGUGUCUUGCAGCACCGAGGUGGGACAGAGGUCUUUAUUACCCUGGUAACGCUGCCAGCAGAACCAUAUUGUCAGGCUCCAGCCUUAGUUUUGGAACCUGAGCUGUAAGCGGCAAGCUGGCACAUGAACAAAUGACUGUGAGCUGACCAUGGAUAAAUUUAGGCUGGAAAUUAGAGAAACUGUCACAGCUUUUUGCAUGGUGAGAUGCCAAACAGAGCAGGGACCCCAAAUAAACCACAGCUUUCAAGAUGCUCACUGAGCUUAUAGAUGGAAUCAUAUGAUGUGUUACUGAAAAGAGGCACAACCCCCUGUUCCUAAUAUUAGGCCUUAUCUACUUAAAAGGAAAAAGAAAUGCAGUGAUUUAACUGAACAGUCUAUUUAACUCAGUACAGAUCUUAAUUUUGAAGGCUUUGCUUUUGGUUUAAAGGAUAACUAACCUACACAACACUGAUAGACUGAUAGAACUCUUCCAGAUUCAGAGUGCAUGGAUGCACGUUUUGCUGAAAAUUUGUAUCUGGAAACUCUUUAUUUAAGCAGGCAAUAAUGUUAUAAUAGCAUUUUACAAACGAUCUAAAAUAGGCUACUUUAUUUUCCGCAGUUUGAAUUGCAUGUAUGUGAUUGGUGCCAGAAUAAAGGUGAGAUAUAAAAUAGAUAUAUAAAAAAAUAUAUCUAUUUUUAUCAGAGACAAAAUGAUCUUCUUUUUGGUACAAAUGUAUAUGCAGUCUAUUCCCCAGACAGUUUGAACAGGUUUAGUUUAAAUCUCUUGCAUCUAGAAUUAACAGGAAAUUCUUUCACUGAAGUGUGACAGUAUAGAAGAUAAGUUCUGAAACUGGUUGAAUCAGUGUAAUCUUCUGAUAAAGACAGGGCUACAAGUAUAGUGUUUCAGCCUUUUAUAUAUAUAUCAAUAUUAAAAUGUAAUAAGCAUGCUUGGAAAAUAAUUUUUCUCUGGAAUUUGGAAUUUGGAAACUGUUUGUGGUAAAUAUGUAGAUGAUACAGUUGA
rnacentral:lncRNA from 1 species